GCCAUGUGUGGGCUUAGCUAGCUCAAGGUGUGGAAAUGAUCACUUGAAAAAGGUUGCUGGCCAGUUCACGCCUGGUUUGAAUGGGUUGUCACCUGGAAGAAACAUUCGAAGACUGACAGAAUCUGUUUAUGUAUCCAUGUUGGAUUUUCGUGUUGCAAUGGAAGCAAAUCCCCAAAUACUUGGCGGAGAUUGGGCCACAUUACUUGAGAAAAUUUCAUUGCACUCUUCUGAAGAAGAUCUUAAUAAUUGCUAGGAAUACAUCAAUUUAAUGUGAAGACAAACUGAUA
rnacentral:misc_RNA from 1 species